UACGUAGGGUGCAAGCGUUGUCCGGAAUUAUUGGGCGUAAAGAGCUCGUAGGCGGCUUGUCGCGUCGUCCGUGAAAACCUGCGGCUCAACUGCAGGCUGGCGGUCGAUACGGGCAGGCUGGAGUUCGGUAGGGGGAGACUGGAAUUCCUGGUGUAGCGGUGAAAUGCGCAGAUAUCAGGAGGAACACCGGUGGCGAAGGCGGGUCUCUGGGCCGAUACUGACGCUGAGGAGCGAAAGCGUGGGGAGCGAACAGG
rnacentral:rRNA from 1 species